rnacentral:siRNA from 1 species
CGUCGGGGCAAGAGCCAGGCCUCG